UACGGAGGGAGCUAGCGUUGUUCGGAUUCAUUGGGCGUAAAGGGUGCGUAGGCGGCGCGGUAAGUCGGGUGUGAAAUCUCGGAGCUUAACUCCGAAACUGCAUUCGAUACUGCCGUGCUUGAGGACUGGAGAGGAGACUGGAAUUUACGGUGUAGCGGUGAAAUGCGUAGAUAUCGUAAGGAAGACCAGUGGCGAAGGCGGGUCUCUGGACAGUUCCUGACGCUGAGGCACGAAGGCCAGGGGAGCAAACGGG
rnacentral:rRNA from 1 species